UCUUAGUGUCUGAUUUUGAUAGGAGAGUUAGAUAUAAGAUUUUAAUAAGCAGGGUCGGGCCUGGUUAGUACUUGGAUGGGAGACCACCUAGGAAGACCAGGUGCUGUAGGCA
rnacentral:rRNA from 1 species